ACGUGAUAGCCUGCGAAAAGCUCCGGGGAGGCGGCAAAUAUCCUUUGAUCCGGAGAUGUCUGAAUGGGGGAACCCACCUACUUUAAGGUAGGUAUUGCAACAUGAAUACAUAGUGUUGCAAGGCGAACGAGGGGAAGUGAAACAUCUCAGUACCCUUAGGAAAAGAAAUCAAUUGAGAUUCCCUCAGUAGCGGCGAGCGAACGGGGAUCAGCCCAUUAAGUUAUGUGUGUUUUAGUGGAACGCUCUGGGAAGUGCGAACGUAGAGGGUGAUAUUCCCGUACACGAAAGGGCACACAUAAUGAUGACGAGUAGGGCGAGGCACGUGAAACCUUGUCUGAAUAUGGGGGGACCAUCCUCCAAGGCUAAAUACUCCUGACUGACCGAUAGUGAACCAGUACCGUGAGGGAAAGGCGAAAAGAACCCCUGUGAGGGGAGUGAAAUAGAUCCUGAAACCGCAUGCAUACAAGCAGUGGGAGCACCUUCGUGGUGUGACUGCGUACCUUUUGUAUAAUGGGUCAGCGACUUAUAUUCAGUAGCGAGGUUAACCGUAUAGGGGAGCCGUAGAGAAAUCGAGUCUUAAUAGGGCGUUUAGUUGCUGGGUAUAGACCCGAAACCAGGCGAUCUAUCCAUGAGCAGGUUGAAGGUUGGGUAACACUAACUGGAGGACCGAACCCACUGUCGUUGAAAAGCCAGGGGAUGACUUGUGGAUAGGGGUGAAAGGCUAAUCAAGCCUGGUGAUAGCUGGUUCUCCCCGAAAGCUAUUUAGGUAGCGCCUCGGACGAAUACCAUAGGGGGUAGAGCACUGUUUCGGCUAGGGGGUCAUCCCGACUUACCAAACCGAUGCAAACUCCGAAUACCUAUGAGUACUAUCCGGGAGACAGACUGCGGGUGCUAACGUCCGUAGUCAAGAGGAAAACAAUCCAGACCGCCAGCUAAGGCCCCAAAAUCAUAGUUAAGUGGGAAACGAUGUGGGAAGGCAUAGACAGCUAGGAGGUUGGCUUAGAAGCAGCCACCCUUUAAAGAAAGCGUAAUAGCUCACUAGUCGAGUCGGCCUGCGCGGAAGAUGUAACGGGGCUAAAACUAUGUGCCGAAGCUGCGGAUGUAUACUUUGUAUACGUGGUAGGGGAGCGUUCUGUAAGCCGAUGAAGGUGUGUUGAGAAGCAUGCUGGAGGUAUCAGAAGUGCGAAUGCUGACGUGAGUAACGACAAAACGGGUGAAAAACCCGUUCGCCGAAAGACCAAGGGUUCCAGUCCAACGUUAAUCGGGGCUGGGUGAGUCGACCCCUAAGGCGAGGCCGAAAGGCGUAGUCGAUGGGAAAAUGGUUAAUAUUCCAUUACUUCUGUGUAAUGCGAUGAGAGGACGGAGAAGGCUAAAUCAGCCUGGCGUUGGUUGUCCAGGUGAAAGGAUGUAGGCAUGUAUCUUAGGCAAAUCCGGGGUACUCUAUGCUGAGAUCUGAUAGCAAGCUGUACUUGUACAGCGAAGUGGUUGAUGCCAUGCUUCCAGGAAAAGUCUCUAAGCUUCAGUUACACAGGAAUCGUACCCGAAACCGACACAGGUGGUCAGGUCGAGUAGACCAAGGCGCUUGAGAGAACUCUGCUGAAGGAACUAGGCAAAAUGGUACCGUAACUUCGGGAGAAGGUACGCUGUUGUUGGUGAUGGAACUCGCUUCCUGAGCUGACGACAGCCGCAGAAACCAGGCCGCUGCAACUGUUUAUUAAAAACAUAGCACUCUGCAAACACGAAAGUGGACGUAUAGGGUGUGAUGCCUGCCCGGUGCUGGAAGGUUAAUUGAUGGGGUUAGCGUAAGCGAAGCUCUUGAUCGAAGCCCCAGUAAACGGCGGCCGUAACUAUAACGGUCCUAAGGUAGCGAAAUUCCUUGUCGGGUAAGUUCCGACCUGCACGAAUGGCAUAAUGAUGGCGGCGCUGUCUCCAGCAGAGGCUCAGUGAAAUCGAAAUCGCUGUGAAGAUGCAGUGUACCCGCGGCUAGACGGAAAGACCCCGUGAACCUUUACUGCAGCUUGACACUGAACUUUGACCUUACUUGUGUAGGAUAGGUGGGAGGCUUUGAAGCUGGAACGCUAGUUCCAGUGGAGCCGUCCUUGAAAUACCACCCUGGUAAUGUUGAGGUUCUAACUCUGUCCCGUGAUCCGGGACGAGGACCGUGUCUGGUGGGUAGUUUGACUGGGGCGGUCUCCUCCUAAAGAGUAACGGAGGAGUACGAAGGUGCGCUCAGCGUGGUCGGAAAUCACGCGUAGAGUAUAAAGGC
rnacentral:rRNA from 1 species